UAAAAGGUCAGUUAGUUCUGCUUAAUUAAAUGCUAUAUCAAAUCAAACAGUUAUGUUUUUUGUGGCAAUUUUACUACAUUCGCUAACUAUUAGCUUCAAAGCUAUUACAAAAGCGUAUCCAGGAAAAAACAAUGAAUCAUCUAGGCAUCUUAUUUCAUCAAUUGUAAACGGAGUACCUGCUUUUAACAGACCAUUUUACGCCAGUUUGAAAUACUUAGAGACGGACGAGUUUAUCUGUGGAGCAACAGUUGUGCAAAGCUCUUGGGUUUUGACUGCAGCAAGUUGUGUUGAUUUCGACGAUGAACCCAAGAACUACAUUGCAGUUGAAAUUGGCAACUUCAUAAUGAUGUUGGGUGACCGAAAACUACACUUAGUGCGGAGGAUUUUUAUCGCACCCAGCCGUUACUACGAAGUGCGACCGGAACACAGUAUUGCAUUAUUACAAUUAGAGGAACCCACCACGACCCAAAUAGAGCUAAUCUAUCCUUGCAGGUAUAGCGAAGACCAUGGGACGCGUCUUGGCACCGUCGGGAUGGGCUCAACUUCCGGGAAAUCACCGCUGUACCCACACUCUAUUUGGGAAGCCCAUUUCCUGGAGUCAAAGCUAUCCGAGCCUAUAUCCCCCUUCAGGCUGGAUAGGUUGAAAAAGUGUCCGGACUCUUUGGUUUGUACAAACAGAGUUUCAGCCGGAGCUAAUAUUUGUCAUAAAGAUAUAGGAGGGCCGCUUUAUACGUUCAAAUGUGGAACGAACAUUCCGCAAUGUUUGUAUGGAGUAGCGACGCAAUUCAAAAAGAAAAGCUAUCGUUCAGAUGAUGAUUGCGAUGGGGGGAGUUUGUUUACGAGUGUGCCUCAUUUCUACAGGUGGAUCAGACACACAAUGUUUAGUUAUGGAAGAUAUCAAUUUAUAGAUUAAAACGGACAUCAUGUUAAUGUACGAUGCAAGGUUAAAAUUUUGCACAUAUGUUGAGUUUAGACAUGUCUUGGAUAAAAAAUAUGGAUUAACGAUUUAUGUUUUGCGAUGUUAUAGUUAUAAUUAGAUUCUACGCAUUUAUAUGACCUGCGCUAGCCUAUAAAGUGGGAAUAUAACUAGC